UGCUGUCUGGGGUUAAACAUUGAAUGGCAAGAAUUUGGAUCACCUUGGCACAACUAUCUAGUAACCAAAAGAGCUAUGGAUGUUCUCAUCAGUUAGAUCUCAGUAAGUAGAAACUGUCAAACAGUAGACUGCAGAGAAGUGUUCUAUAUUAUUACAAGAACACUUUGAGUUAUAAAUAUCCAUAAGCUUUAAUGGAGAAGAGAACUGUGCCUGUCAGUAGAAAA
rnacentral:lncRNA from 1 species